AGUGAGGAAUAUUGGUCAAUGGACGCAAGUCUGAACCAGCCAUGUCGCGUGCAGGAUGACUGCCCUAUGGGUUGUAAACUGCUUUUGUACGGGAAGAAAUAUACUUACGUGUAAGUAUUUGCCGGUACCGUACGAAUAAGCAUCGGCUAACUCCGUGCCAGCAGCCGCGGUAAUACGGAGGGUGCAAGCGUUAUUCGGAAUCAUUGGGCGUAAAGGGCGCGUAGGCGGUAUGUCAAGUCAGAUGUGAAAUCCCGGGGCUUAACUUCGGAGGGUCAUUUGAAACUGACAUACUUGAGUUCGGUAGAGGAAAGCGGAAUUCCUGGUGUAGCGGUGAAAUGCGUAGAUAUCAGGAGGAACAUCAGUGGCGAAGGCGGCUUUCUGGCCCGAUACUGACGCUGAUGCGCGAAGGCAUGGGUAGCAAACGGGAUUAGAUACCCCGGUAGUCCAUGCAGUAAACGUUGAUUACCAGGUGUUGGUUGCAGAAAGCAAUCAGUGCCGCAGUAAACGCAAUAAGUAAUCC
rnacentral:rRNA from 1 species